CUGGCUCAGGAUGAACGCUAGCGGCAGGCUAACACAUGCAAGUCGAGGGGCAUCGGGAGUAGCAAUACUGCCGGCGACCGGCGCAAGGGUGCGUAACGCGUGAGCAACAUGCCCGUAUCAGGGGGAUAAUCCAUGGAAACGUGGUCUAAUACCCCAUAGUAAUUAUGUAAGGCAUCUUAUAUAAUUUAAAGCUUUGGUGGAUACGGAUUGGCUCGCGUGACAUUAGCUAGAUGGUAAGGUAACGGCUUACCAUGGCUACGAUGUCUAGGGGUUCUGAGAGGAAGGUCCCCCCACACUGGAACUGAGACACGGUCCAGACUCCUACGGGAGGCAGCAGUGAGGAAUAUUGGACAAUGGAUGGAAAUCUGAUCCAGCCAUGUCGCGUGCAAGGGAAGACGGCCCUAUGGGUUGUAAACUGCUUUUGUAUGGGAGCAAUAAGGGCUACGCGUAGUCCGAUGAGAGUACCAUACGAAUAAGCACCGGCUAACUCCGUGCCAGCAGCGGC
rnacentral:rRNA from 1 species